GUAGCCUCCGUUUCUGCCCUCCGGUAAAUAUUUCCCUCUACUUGUCUCUCACCGUCUAAGUACCAGAUUAAAAUGAUUUUGUUUCAAUAGAAGCAUUUGAAACAUACACUAAAUAUUGUAUGAUUCAAAUCUGCAUCUCUUAUAUAACUUGAAGGAGGAUUUUCAAAGAGGUUCACUGAUUCUGAUCAGGACGCUUUUGUUCAAUUGAAGAUAAUGCUUUUGUUAUCUCAUGUUAACAUUCACCCUUAUUUAAGUUUUUUGAUGAAGUACUGAUGCGCUUUUCUUGAAAUACCUAUUCUUAAGGUUACGUGUGGUGUGAUUUACUUUGCUUUGGUUGGAUUAGAAAUUUUGUCUGAUGUGAUGUUGGGUUUAGCGCAGAGAGUUCGUGCCGGUAUUGGGUUUAGUUAUGUUUUUUUGGGUUAUCAUCUGUUUUGAGAAAUGAUAAUUUGAUUCUAAAGAUGUUAUCGUGUGCGAAUGGAUCUUUGUUUGGCCUAUUUAAAUUAUUGUUUGUUUUAGUGGCAUUGUGAUGGAUUGUAGUUUGAUUUAUUUGUGUGGAUGUCACUUAAGGAACCAUUAAAACAAAGCCAAUGUUUAUUUAUAUUGAGCUAAUGAAAUCUUCUUUCUUGAUGUAAUUUUUAUUGUUUAUUUUGCCUGUGUAUGGCUUUGUGUUACUUGAUGUUGAAAUGUAAAUAGCACACAUUUUUCCUCUUGCUUUUGCA
rnacentral:misc_RNA from 1 species